GAUGAACGCUGGCGGCGUGCCUAAUACAUGCAAGUCGAGCGAACGGACGAGAAGCUUGCUUCUCUGAUGUUAGCGGCGGACGGGUGAGUAACACGUGGAUAACCUACCUAUAAGACUGGGAUAACUUCGGGAAACCGGAGCUAAUACCGGAUAAUAUUUUGAACCGCAUGGUUCAAAAGUGAAAGACGGUCUUGCUGUCACUUAUAGAUGGAUCCGCGCUGCAUUAGCUAGUUGGUAAGGUAACGGCUUACCAAGGCAACGAUGCAUAGCCGACCUGAGAGGGGGAUAGGCCACACUGGAACUGGGACACGGUCAAGACUCCUACGGGAGGCAGCAGUAGGGAAUCUGCCGCAAUGGGCGAAAGCCUGACGGAGCAACGCCGCGUGAGUGAUGAAGGUCUUCGGAUCGUAAAACUCUGUUAUUAGGGAAGAACAUAUGUGUAAGUAACUGUGCACAUCGUGACGGUACCUAAUCAGAAAGCCACGGCUAACUACGUG
rnacentral:rRNA from 1 species